GGGCCCAUAGCUCAGUUGGUCAGAGCGUCGCGCUUACACCGCGGAUGUCGGGGGUUCGAGUCCCUCUGGGCCCACCA
rnacentral:tRNA from 1 species